rnacentral:tRNA from 1 species
GAGUCCGUAGCUUAGUGGUAGAGCAUUUGCUUAGCAUGCAUAUGACCUGGAUUCA